rnacentral:lncRNA from 1 species
GUAAAAUUUAGCUGAAUACUUUAGAUCUAUCAUUUCCUUUUCCUGUUGUAAGAACAUUACAUUGUGUUGAAAUUAAAGUGGAUAUAGAAGGUAAUUAGAAUAAACUGCCACAUCAUUUUUAUAGUAAAGUGGUAAUAACACUAUUGCUUUCUGUUUUUUUAAUCAGAAGGAGUAUGGGCUUAUAAUGAUGUUACUGUUCCCUGAAGCAUAUUUUGAAUGAUACGGUUUAUAUUUGCACAGUUGCCCAGGUAAUCAUUGUGAUAUUAAUUGAUCAAUUUGCUAUUUAUUUGCGUUUUAAAUCAGUACUAGUAUUUGUGCUUAAAAAUUUUGCAUAUGUUUUAUCAGAUUUAAUUUUUAAGUGUCAGAUACUAAAACAAAUAACCUUAACUUUAUUAAAUUAUAAUUUUUUAUCAUGAGGUGGUAUUCAUUUAUUCAUAUAGUUAGAACAAAAAAUAUUUAAAAUAUUGAGGUAGAAACAAAUUAGUCUCUUUUUAAUUAAAAGCCAGAUUACUUGUUAGAGUAACAUUUUCCCAAAUGAGGUAAAAUUGUUGCGACUGUUAAACUUAAGGAAAUUUUGAUCUAGGUGUGGUAUAUACCUUCUUGUGGGGUGCUAAUGAAAACAGGGAUGGCAAAAAUAUUUUGUUUGUGAGUGUAUGCAUUUAUGCUUUUUGACAACCUAAGAAACACUCUUACAUCUGAGUAUCUUUCAUGGACUAGCUGUAGGAAAUCUAUAUAAAAUAGCUUAGUAUACUGAAAGUAUGACAUAGUUUUACAUAUCUAGAUUGUGGUUGUGAUUAUAUAUAAUACUAUAAAAUAUGCUAACGUGCUGCUUAAUAAUACUAUUUGGAUUUUUUUUAAUACUGAAAAGGUCACACAGAUUGUGAUUAUUGUGUAGUGUCCAAGAACUAAGGCCUACCAUCUGUUACUCAAAUGUAUGAAAAAGUUAAGAUAAUUUAGUGAUAUAAGUGGUUUUGACACCACUGUUUUUGGAAUAAUCUAAUUAUGAUUUUUAUAAAGACUAAUAUCAAAUUUUAAACGUUUGCAAAAAUGAAACCUAAUAGUUAUACUGUUAUUUAUAUUUUUCUAUUACAAUACAGAUACUGGCUGAGAACUAAAGAUUGUGUAAUAAACGCCUGGCCUUCAGUCAUUUGGUUUUUUUUUUCCCUCGAUUGUUUGGAUAGUUAACUGGACAUCAUGUUUUAACUUGAGAAAUUAAGUUAUACAAGAUUUUGAUAUUUUAAACUAGUUUUCCUAACUGGUUGAGAUAUAUAAGAAUUUAGUAUUACAGGACUCAAUCAGGGAACUGAUUUAAUAAGAAUUUCUUAAAAAUUUGUUUAAAUAUUUUUCAAGUUCUUUUCUUCAUCUUCUACAACUUAAUUCUUGUCUGUAUGCAAAUGAGCUUCCCCAUUUAAAAUUUUGCUGUUGCAUUUUAGGCCACUAUAGAAGUUGUUUCUUUAAUUUUCACUCACAAGAAUUUGGUCUUACCAAAUUGUGUAAAUCUUUAAAAUUGUGUAUUUGGCUUAAUAUUAUAGAAUCUGAUUGAUUUAAUCUACCUUGUUUCAUUUAGUAUGUUGACAUUUUCUUGAGAAAUUUGUUAUGCCAAAUGAUUAACAUAAUAAUAUUUUAAGUUUAGAUAUGAUUUUGAAUUUACAUUUUCAAAUGCAACUUUGUGUCUGUGGCCUUUUUUUUUUUUUUUUUUUUACGAGAAACAUCUUGCCAAUUUUCAGAUUAAUCUGUGAGGAAAGUAGAUUGGUUUACUAGACUCAGUUUGUAGACUUUGGUGAGAACUGAAUUGGAGGCUAUGAAAAAAAUACCUUUUGGGCCUUUCUGAAUAGACAUAUAUACAUAAAUUAUAUCUCUUACAUUAAGUGAGGCACAUAUGUAGGUGAGAUUUUUACCUGAAUAUUAAAAGUUUAAAAGUCGUUACCUAUUCUGUUUACUUAAUAGUAUUUAAAGGGUGUGAGAGGUGUUAUGUGUUUCUGUCCCUUGUUUUUAUUCCUAUCCCUCCCAUCUAACUGUUGGUACUCUUAUCUUCCCAGGUAUUAAACUUGUAUGUUUUAAAAGCUUAUUUACUUGUUGAAAUGGUUAACUUAAUUAGUUUUUUCUUUGAAGUUUCAGCCUAAAUAUUUUCUGUUUUUUUAUAUGUCCUUUAAAUAUGAAAAUUCUACAGCUAAUCAUAAUUAGUAAUUGUACUUUUUCCCCUAUUACAAUAACUGGUUUCAUAAUAAAAUGGUAUCCCUUCAAUAACAAGCAUUUAUAGUAGUUUAUUAAAACUAAGGGUGUUAUCUAUUCAAACCAAGCAAUGCAGACUUACUGUUGACUCUGUUAAUAUAUUUUAAAAUUGCAUAUUACUAAAAUUUAAAAUAUGAUUUUGACUAGUAUUUUGGUGUAUGUUAUUUUAGAUAUUUUGAUUAUGCACUACUUAAGAAUGAAUUGUCAAGUAUGAUUAUAAAGUUGAUAUAAUAGUUAACCUUCAGUGGGAAUAGGAAUCAUUUAAUAUUGUUAGAUAUUUGUAUUAUUAGAACAAUCUCCUAUGAUUCUUACUAAUAUAGUAAUGAAUGACAGACAAUAUGUUGGCUUUCAUAUUUAAAAAUUCACAUGCAUUUCUAGUUUAUGUUUUUCUUCGACUAAAAUUCUGCAGCACUUAGGCAAAGCUAUUUUUACCAGUUGGAAAAAAAGUAAGUCAUUUCCAACCAAUUUUCCUGGCUUGUAGUAUAGAAUAAAGAGACUUGAUUUUAUUACAUUAAAGCCAAAUAUAAAAUGAUGCAAUCUAGCACACACUUGUUUGGAACUUUUCUCUUUUAAAUAUUCAGAUUAAG